GUCAAAAUGUUGUAAGCGCCAAAAUCUGGGAAAAUUGGUUUUUGAGUCCAGCUGAUAGAUAUGUGCUUGUUAUACGUCCCAGCAAAGUGUUGUAACCAUCUAAUUCAUUUUAAGGGAGAAAAAGAAGAAUAAAGUUUGUUGUAACUGCCAAUAUGGCAAGUCUUUGAAAGUCAAAAUGUUGUAUGAGCUAGAAACUGAAAGGCAGAAUGUUGUAUCGUCAUCCAAGAACAUUUUUGUACUGGAUCCAGUUUUCAAUCUCUGCUAGCCAGAAUGUUGUAUAAGCCACCAGUCACAUGGUUCUAGGUUAUGUUUCAGUGGAAGUUGAAGCGUGAUUCUUGUUUCAUUGGUCUAUGUAGCGUGAUUUGCUGUGUAUUUUUGUUGUUUGAAAUUGAAUUAUCCAGGAAAACUUAUCAAGAGAAUGAGUUUGUAAACUGUUUCAUCAUUUCUUUGAGAGGUUGGAAAAAAUGACUAGUAGAGCUGCUAUGUUGGUUGAAUUGGCCAAGAAAUCUAAUACCAGUACUACAGAAUUUGCCAGUUUAAAAAAGGAGAUGAAAAUGUCUAUCUAA